rnacentral:rRNA from 1 species
UACGGAGGGUGCAAGCGUUAUCCGGAUUCACUGGGUUUAAAGGGAGCGUAGGUGGGCUGGUAAGUCAGUGGUGAAAUCUCCGGGCUUAACCCGGAAACCGCCGUUGAUACUAUCAGUCUUGAAUAUUGUGGAGGUAAGCGGAAUAUGUCAUGUAGCGGUGAAAUGCUUAGAUAUGACAUAGAACACCGAUAGCGAAGGCAGCUUGCUACACAAUGAUUGACACUGAGGCGCGAAAGCGCGGGGAUCAAACAGG